UACGGAGGGUGCGAGCGUUGUCCGGAAUCACUGGGCGUAAAGGGCGCGUAGGCGGUCCGGUAAGCGUGUGGUGAAAGCCCGGGGCUCAACCCCGGGUCGGCCGUGCGAACUGGCGGGACUGGAGCACUGUAGAGGCAGGCGGAAUUCCGGGUGUAGCGGUGGAAUGCGUAGAGAUCCGGAAGAACACCAGUGGCGAAGGCGGCCUGCUGGGCAGUUGCUGACGCUGAGGCGCGACAGCGUGGGGAGCAAACAGG
rnacentral:rRNA from 1 species